rnacentral:sRNA from 1 species
UGGUUGUUGAUUGAUGUUGCGGCGGCGGAGGACGUCCAAUCAAAUCUACACACUAAUAUCUUCCUGGGCAUCCUAGGACUUAUGUGAAACACACUCUUUAGAUAAGA